rnacentral:lncRNA from 1 species
UGUACAUUAAUAAUUACGGUGAUUAAUCCCCUGUGUAGUUGUUUAGUAAUGAUUAGUUACUCUCUAGAUCAAAAAUAAGAAUUUUUGAUAAUUAAUGUUUGUGAGAUGAUAAUGUGAGACCAUGUACAACAGAAACUGCAUAAAAUUGUUAAUUUUUAUGUUCAGUUAUUAUAAAUAUCUUAAAAAGAAGAAAAAUAAACAUUUUACAAUCAACUUUGGUUUAUGGCUAAAUUUCUUCUAUUGUAAUUACAGAUUGAAUAGGGUCUUUUCCCUUGAGACACUAUCAGGUUGGAAAAAGGAUUCUUCUCAAAAGAAACAAAAAUCUAAUAAAAAAAAAUGAAGUAGAGAAGCAAAAAUCAUUUAAGUAAGAAGGCAUUAAUCACUUCCGAGAAAAAACUAAUGUAUCUUCAAUGGAAAGUGUUUUUUAUAAGGAUAGUAAAACCAUUUCCUUUGGAGAUGAUAAUUCUGGAGAAACUGGUGUUUCUCUCUCAGUAAAAGGAAUGAAGCCAUAAAUACAUAAACUAGGACUGAAAUGAUGGGAAGGUCUGAACCAGCAAUGCACAGCCUGCAGGCCACAUGCAGCCCUCUAUUGAUUUGUUGGUGGCACAUUUCACUAUAUGUUAUUUUAACAAGUCACACAAUCAACAAAAUAUUAUUUGUAGUUCUGAAUUAUGUUUUUUCAACUAAUAUUUU